UCCUCGGAGAUAGGAUGUAGGUUAGUUUUAUCCUGAAAUCCUGUCUACAGGAGAUGAGAAGGGAAUAUUGGAUCGCGUACGCAAUACAUAUUUUUAACUAACUACCUCUUAGCCAAUUUGAAACAUUGCAAAAAAAAACCCUUUCAUUAUAAUAAGUACCUAAUUAUGUUACUAAUAAAUAAAUAAAUAAAUAAAUAUUAUAGGACAUUAUUACACAAAUUGACUAAGUCCCUCAGUAAGCUUAAUAAGGCUUGUGUUGUAGGUACCUAGGCUUGUGUUGUAGGUACUAAUUAAGCCUUAUUUAUAUCUAUUGAUUUUGUAUCAUAAUGUAAAGCGAAGUAUUUGCCGUGCACGUAGGUAUGUACGAGUAUGGAAUCAUAUCGUUAAGUAUGUAUGUGUGUUCGUAUAUUACAUGUGACGAAGAUGUUGAUAUUUGUAAGAAGGAUCCCUACAAACUACUUUAAACUGAGAAGUAGGCGGUCCCAGGUUCGAAUCCUGGUAAGAAAAUAUAGAUGCUACAAUCCACUUACUGCACCACUUAGCAGAAUUGAAACUAAGAUAACUGUUUGUAGCCUUUUGGAUAGAAACCCUGGCUAAGAAAAAAGCGACUCUGGGUUCGAAUCCUUGUUAGAAAACUAAUUUAUAUGUGGAGACUUGAGAGGUUUUUAUUGGACGUACUUUCGCCACUCUUAGAAAUUAAAUAAACUUCCUAAAUUUAAUCAGUGUGAAUAAAAAAGUAUACAUAAUAUAUACUGAAUAGGCAUUCUUCGCAAACUGAAUAGAAUUGACCAGAAUAGGUUUUUUUACUGAUCAUGUAAACUUGACAAAGUUAUCUUAUUAAACACGUCCAUAUGUUGCUUAUGCAUGUAUGUAUGUAGUUGCGCUUUUGAUUUAACUCCCGUCUUCCAUUACGAUGGUACAAAAUACAAACGGUAAGCUUUACAUAAUAUGGAUACCCGUUAUCAAAAUUCUAAAUAGCCCCACAAGUGGGUUGGUCUAAUAGCAUUUUGCGAGUCGCAUUCCAAGUUACAGUGGUAUAUAGGUAUACAAGGAAACAAUACCAAAGGUAUUAGAUGUAAAAAAUAUAUAUUAGGGCAUUACCUUACAACUUCCUAAAGUGGAGAUGAGUUUGUUCUUGUCGAUCACACGGUCUCAAGUAUCAUUGUGCAGGUAAUCCAUUUCCCGCCCAGGAGCCUAAAGUAUAAUUGAGUGCUAGUCAAAGUUUAGAACUCAGAAUUAAAAAAGGUUUCUUUCUCUCGAAAAGGCGUCGCCAUUGUUUAAUAUCUAUUUCAUUUUGUUUAUUUUUUUACGAUAAUCUACACACUUCUACCAUUCUUACUAUAUAUAUUAUAAAUAUUAUAAAUGCGAUAAUAACUCAUAUCACUCGUCUUGCUUAUGGAAAAAAUCCAGAAAGCGUUUCUGCGAUUAUUAUAUAAAAAGGUUUACGGGUAUUACCCAUAUUUGUACCCAUCAAAGUUCCUGCUUGGCGUUUUAGGGUUUAAUUCCUUAGAGGUGAGACGUAACUACGGGCUAUUGACUACUGUAUGUAACGUCUUACGGUGGAACUCAGACUGGCCUGAACUGGUUGCACAGCUCGUACGCCUGUUCGUUCCAUCUGUGGCUAAGGCCCAAUUUAAUUUCCGACCACGAAUUCGUCACCUAUUAGCGGUGCCUAAAACACGCACUAUGUCCCAUGGCAAAUCACCACUUGUCCGCGCUCUACAAUAUAUCGCGCUCCUCGCAUCAGCACCGGAAUGUAAUGUAUUUGCAAGUAGUAGGAUGGAUAUGUGUAAAGAAUGUAUGAAGUUCUGUGAGACGAUGGAUAAGCGAGAAUCUUCUGUUUUUUAUUUGUUUUUCUUUCUUACAUUUGUUCUCUUUUUCCUUUCUAGACUGUAUCAUGUACCUAGUUUGUAUACAUACUGUCUAUUAAAAAUUUCACAGUGUAUUAGUUUGCUGUAAUGCUGUGUAAAUUUUUUGAAUCAAUAAAAUAAAAAAUAAACUCUGUGUAAAAUUUGGUAUGGAGAUUGUUUCAGAGCCGGGGAAGGACAUCAGGAUAGUUUCUAUGAUUCAUCAUCAUUCUACGUCUACGCGUACGAAGUCGAGGGCAGAAACUAGUACUUAAAUAAAUGUAAUAUAAAUAAUAUUACUUAAUUAAGAGGGUAACAUAAAUAAUAACUAGACUUCGAUAGGUACCUAAAACAGUUUUAUAUUAAAUCAGGUUUCGUUGGAGGAAGAGUCAGAAUUUUGAGCAACGAUGCUAUGCGAGAAGUCGCGCAAAACAACGCGAGUUGCGUAUCCUGUACUGGAGGCCAAGACCCACGGUGCUGCUGAUUUACAAAUGAAAAUUUGUGUAAUGAUAUGCAAACGAAACCAGAGGAAUUAAGUGUUCAGCGGAACUGCUCCUGAAAAAAAGAUUGCUGUCAUAAGAGAUGCGGGUAUCUACUUUCAAUAUGUGUGACCAGCCUAUAAGAUCGAACAUGAAGCAAACAAGACAAUUUACCCUUAAAUGUAUUAGUAUAAGUUUGCCUAUUUAUUAUUAAUUCUCCAUAUUGCCUAAUAAAACAACUAUAUUGUGCAUUAGAAGACAGUAUCAUCCGGACAUGGUAUAUCAGAAUGUUACGUUCUGUGGAUAUACUCUGUUCUAAUGCACAGACAUUUUUAUUGUGUGAUUAA